rnacentral:rRNA from 1 species
GAUGAACGCUGGCGGCGUGCCUAAUACACGCAAGUCGAGCGAACAGACGAGGAGCUUGCUCCUCUGACGUUAGCGGCGGACGGGUGAGUAACACGUGGAUAACCUACCUAUAAGACUGGGAUAACUUCGGGAAACCGGAGCUAAUACCGGAUAAUAUAUUGAACCGCAUGGUUCAAUAGUGAAAGACGGUUUUGCUGUCACUUAUAGAUGGAUCCGCGCCGCAUUAGCUAGUUGGUAAGGUAACGGCUUACCAAGGCAACGAUGCGUAGCCGACCUGAGAGGGUGAUCGGCCACACUGGAACUGAGACACGGUCCAGACUCCUACGGGAGGCAGCAGUAGGGAAUAUUCCGCAAUGGGCGAAAGCCUGACGGAGCAACGCCGCGUGAGUGAUGAAGGUCUUCGGAUCGUAAAACUCUGUUAUUAGGGAAGAACAAAUGUGUAAGUAACUAUGCACGUCUUGACGGUACCUAAUCAGAAAGCCACGGCUAACUACGUG